rnacentral:lncRNA from 1 species
UGUUCCCCCAGGGAGACCCAGGAAUCCAGGGCUACCACGGCCGGAAGGGCGAAAAGGGGGCUGCAGGCCCCCCUGGGCUACUAGGCCUCCUGGGGCAGAAGGGAGAAAAAGGCGAUGCUGGCAACUCCAUCGGAGGGGGCAGAGGGGAGCCUGGCCCCCCAGGACUACCUGGGCCCCCAGGGCCAAAGGGAGAAGCCGGCGCUGAUGGCCAGGCCGGCCCCCCGGGACGGCAAGGAGACAAGGGAGAGCCCGGAGCAGCUGGAGACCAGGGACCAGCGGGCCCCAAGGGCACCAAGGGGGAACCAGGGAAAGGGGAGAUGGUGGACUACAACGGAAACAUCAGCGAGGCUCUCCAGGUGAGUGGGAGCC